rnacentral:rRNA from 1 species
GACGAACGCUGGCGGCGUGCCUAAUACAUGCAAGUAGAACGCUGAAGAGAGGAGCUUACUCUUCUUGGAUGAGUUGCGAACGGGUGAGUAACGCGUAGGUAACCUGCCUUGUAGCGGGGGAUAACUAUUGGAAACGAUAGCUAAUACCGCAUAACAAUGGAUGACACAUGUCAUUUAUUUGAAAGGGGCAAUUGCUCCACUACAAGAUGGACCUGCGUUGUAUUAGCUAGUAGGUGAGGUAAUGGCUCACCUAGGCGACGAUACAUAGCCGACCUGAGAGGGGGAUCGGCCACACUGGGGCUGAGACACGGCCCAGACUCCUACGGGAGGCAGGAGUAGGGAAUCUUCGGCAAUGGGGGCAACCCUGACCGAGCAACGCCGCGUGAGUGAAGAAGGUUUUCGGAUCGUAAAGCUCUGUUGUAAGUCAAGAACGGGUGUGAGAGUGGAAAGUUCACACUGUGACGGUAGCUUACCAGAAAGGGACGGCUAACUACG